UUUUCUUUUUUACACAGGUUAGAUAGUGAGGGAUUAGAUCUUCUAUCAAAGCUGCUUCUGUAUGAAGCUAAGAAGAGAUCCUCUGCUGCUGAAGGAAUGAGACACGCCUUCUUCAACAGUUUCGGACCAAGUGUUCACCGACUGCCCGACACUGUCUCCAUUUUUACUGUACCCGGUAUUGUUUUACAUAAAGACCCAGGAAUGAGAUCUUCUUCCCUGGCAAAUUCAGGGAAAAUUCGUCGACAGAG